rnacentral:rRNA from 1 species
AAAAGCUUUCUUUAAUUGAAUAAUUGAAUUUAAUUUUUUAGUGCAAAAGCAAAAAUAAAAAUUAGGGACAAGAAGACCCUAUGAAUUUUUUAUUAAAUUUUAUAAAACUUUAUAUAAAAUUUAAUUUAAUUGGGGUGAUGGAAAAAGAAUAAAUAUCUUUUUUUUAAAAAAAAAUUGGUUCCGUUUUUAGCGAUUAAAUGAAAAAAAUACUCUAGGGAUAACAGCGUAAUAAUUUUGGAUAGUUCAUAUAGAUAAAAUAGUUUGCGACCUCGAUGUUGGAUUAGGAUUCUUUUUUGGUGAAGAAGUUAAAAAAAGAAGUUUGUUCAACUUAUAAUUUCCUACUUGAUCUGAGUUCAGACCGG